CAGUAGCCGCGGUAAUACGGAGGGGGCUAGCGUUGUUCGGAAUUACUGGGCGUAAAGCGCACGUAGGCGGCUUGGUAAGUUAGAGGUGAAAGCCCGGAGCUCAACUCCGGAAUUGCCUUUAAGACUGCCGAGCUAGUAGGUGAGAGAGGUAAGUGGAAUUCCGAGUGUAGAGGUGAAAUUCGUAGAUAUUCGGAAGAACACCAGUGGCGAAGGCGGCUUACUGGCUCAUUCUAGACGCUGAGGUGCGAAAGCGUGGGGAGCAAACAGGAUUAGAUACCCGUGUAGUCCCUGUCUCUUAUAA
rnacentral:rRNA from 1 species